UACGAAGGGGGCUAGCGUUGCUCGGAAUUACUGGGCGUAAAGCGCACGUAGGCGGCUUCUUAAGUCGGUGGUGAAAUCCUGGAGCUCAACUCCAGAACUGCCUUCGAUACUGGGAAGCUCGAGUCCGGGAGAGGUGAGUGGAACUGCGAGUGUAGAGGUGAAAUUCGUAGAAUAUUCGCAAGAACACCAGUGGCGAAGGCGGCUCACUGGCCCGAUACCUGACGCUGAGGCACGAAAGCGUGGGGAGCAAACGG
rnacentral:rRNA from 1 species